ensembl:lncRNA
GAGGGAAGUAAAGAAGUGAUAAACAGCAGAAGUGACACUGAAGUUAAAGGAGGAGGUGCUCCAUGGCCGAGCAUAUAUUCCCUGCAGACCUCAGAGGGCCCAUGCUGGAGCAUGGGAAGAGCACCUGGAAAAGGAAGAGUAGAGAGAAAGCCCUGAGCACUGGCUGCAAGCCCCCACCCUCUGUUCCUCAGUAACACACUGCUGAUUCGGGAGUGAAGAAGUUAAUUCGGGCCUGGGAAAGGAGCCUCCUCAAGUAUCUUAAAAGCAACGCUGCAAGAGUCUGCUGCUGGCUGCUCCCGCACAAAGAGAGCUCAAAGAGAGCUGAGACAAUGAUGGGAGAUGGUUGUAGAAGGCCAAAUCCCUCAGCCUGACCUCACAGGAGAGGUGCUCCCACUCUCUGGACAUCUUCAUGGCCUCUGGACCCAGGCAGCACUGGGCUCUGCUUCCUCCUUGUGCUGGGGGACCCAGUCCUG